AACAAAGGUACGUCUUAAUGCAUUCUGAACUGUAAGAAUGAUAUGUAACGGACCAUUCAGAACAAAACAGUUCUUUCUUUUCACUUUUCAGCAGGACAAAGACCAACUAUAUCCCUCCAGAUCCAAGAUGCUACAAACAUACACAGUCCUUUGUGUUGUGAAGAGAGUGCACAUACUGGAUAGCACUGUGCUAAAAGAAGUGCAUUUAAGUGACCUCAAAGACUGGAGAACCAUAUCUUACAUUACGUGCACUUGUAUAUGUCUAUGAUUUGCUCUAAAGGUCUAUCAGAGGAAAAAUACGCCCCCUGGUGUUGAGGUCCAUCCACAACAGACCCACAUUAUGGUUCAUGUUUCUUUUAUACUACUGUAAAAAGCUUUUCAAAUUUAUUUUUAAUACCGUGUAGUAUUCUAAUUGUCUCGGAUCUGUUUGACUUCUCACAAAUUAGAGUAGAGACCGUAAAUGUUGCACUAUUUCAUUUUAUUAUUUUUCAGUCAUCAAGCCACUGAGCAUUGAGGCCCAACUACAGAUGUGAUGGUCCACUUGAUUUCAGUGGAAACAAGGUCGACUUGUCUCUAGACGUCUCUCAGAAUGUCCUUUAGUCAUCAUACAAUCAGUGUUUAGCAGAAAUGAAUCACAAGCUUGACCUGUUUCUACGCGUUUCAUUCAGAAACCUCAUCUGUUGUCUAAUUUAGUUUUUUUUAAAGGAAUAGUUCACCCAAAAUCAUUUGAUGUUCUAUGACAUUUAUGAAAAUAUAUUUUUUUUGUGCAGACCAAUCCUUUUACAACGUCCGAGCAUAUUUAACUAUUUGGUUUAGUUCAUAUGUGGCUCAAAUCAACCAGAAGUGUUUAAAAGAUAAAUGUUUUGGUCUUUUGUUACAUUAAUUGAUAUGUAAAAUAAAAUAAAUGCAAAAUCCACAAUC